rnacentral:rRNA from 1 species
UGCCAGCAGCCGCGGUAAUACGGAGGGUGCAAACGUUGCUCGGAAUCAUUGGGCGUAAAGCGCACGUAGGCGGCGAAGCAAGUUGGGUGUGAAAGCCCUGGGCUCAACCCAGGAAGUGCAUUCAAAACUGCUUCGCUUGAAUCUCGGAGGGGGUCAGAGAAUUCCCGGUGUAGAGGUGAAAUUCGUAGAUAUCGGGAGGAAUACCAGUGGCGAAGGCGCUGACCUGGACGAAGAUUGACGCUGAGGUGCGAAAGCGCGGGGAGCAAACAGGAUUAGAUACCCUGGUAGUCCGCGCUGUAAACGAUGAGUGCUAGACGGUGGAGGUAUUGACCCCUUCGCUGCCGAAGCUAACGCGUUAAGCACUCCGCCUGGGGAGUACGGUCGCAAGACUAAAACUCAAAGGAAUUGACGGGGG